AGGGCCAGAAGAGGAGCGUUAACCAGGUAAUUACUAUUGUUUUGUAUUGUCUUGAACAAUUCAAAAACAGAUAUCAAAAUCUGUAGAUGGUAAUGAGGGGGAUUAACGCCGAGAUAAAUGGCUAUUUGAUAAGCUGUUUAUCGGUUGUGUACUUUAUAUAUUUUAUAAAGUAGUGGGCUGAAUCCCAACAACUGUCACUUUGAAAAACAACCCUAUGGGUUGUUUAAGUGGGGAGCUUCUGGUCUU
rnacentral:ncRNA from 2 species